UACGAGGGGGGCAAGCGUUGUCCGGAAUUAUUGGGCGUAAAGAGCUCGUAGGCGGUCUGUUGCGUCCGCUGUGAAAACUCGGGGCUUAACCCCGAGCCUGCAGUGGAUACGGGCAGACUAGAGGUAGGUAGGGGAGAAUGGAAUUCCCGGUGUAGCGGUGAAAUGCGCAGAUAUCGGGAGGAACACCGGUGGCGAAGGCGGUUCUCUGGGCCUUACCUGACGCUGAGGAGCGAAAGCGUGGGGAGCGAACAGG
rnacentral:rRNA from 1 species